rnacentral:rRNA from 1 species
AGGGAAUAUUGGACAAUGGGCGGAAGCCUGAUCCAGCCAUGCCGCGUGGAGGAAGACGGCCCUCUGGGUUGUAAACUCCUUUUGGAAGGGAAGAAACCUCUCUAUUUAUGGAUGAGCUGACGGUACCUUUCGAAUAAGCACCGGCUAACUCCGUGCCAGCAGCCGCGGUAAUACGGAGGGUGCAAGCGUUAUCCGGAUUUACUGGGUUUAAAGGGUGCGUAGGCGGUUUUUUAAGUCAGUGGUGAAAUACCCGUGCUCAACAUGGGAAUUGCCAUUGAUACUGAGGAACUUGAAUAUGAGUGAGGCAGGCGGAAUGAUGCAUGUAGCGGUGAAAUGCUUAGAUAUGUUUCAGAACACCUAUUGCGAAGGCAGCUUGCUAAUUCAUGAUUGACGCUGAGGCACGAAAGCGUGGGGAGCAAAC